GCCUUCGUGGUGUAGUGGUCAGCACGCUCGACGCGUAACCGAGAGGUCCGUGGUUCGAUUCUCGGCGAAGGCU
rnacentral:tRNA from 1 species